UAGGCGAUGGACAACAGGUUGAUAUUCCUGUACCAGUUGCUUUUGUUUGAGCGAUGGAGGGACGCAGGAGGCUAAGGAAUGCACACGAUCGGAAAUGUGUGUCCAAGCAGCAAGUCUGAGAACGAGUGAAAUGCUUUUUCUCUCAAGGACAAGCUGUGAUGGGGAGCGAAAUUUAGUAGCGAAGUUCCUGAUGUCACACUGCCAAGAAAAGCUUCUAGUGAGAAGGUAACUGCCCGUACCGCAAACCGACACAGGUAGUUGAGGAGAGAAUCCUAAGGUGUGCGAGAGAACUCUCGUUAAGGAACUCGGCAAAAUGACCCCGUAACUUCGGGAGAAGGGGUGCUGACCGCAAGGUCAGCCGCAGUGAAUAGGCCCAAGCGACUGUUUAUCAAAAACACAGGUCUCUGCAAAAUCGAAAGAUGACGUAUAGGGGCUGACGCCUGCCCGGUGCUGGAAGGUUAAGAGGAGAGGUUAGCGCAAGCGAAGCUUUGAAUUGAAGCCCCAGUAAACGGCGGCCGUAACAAUAACGGUCCUAAGGUAGCGAAAUUCCUUGUCGGGUAAGUUCCGACCCGCACGAAAGGCGUAACGAUUUGGGCACCGUCUCAACGAGAGACUCGGUGAAAUUAUAGUACCAGUGAAGAUGCUGGUUACCCGCGACAGGACGGAAAGACCCCAUGGAGCUUUACUGCAGUUUGAUAUUGCGUGUUUGUAUCACAUGUACAGGAUAGGUAGGAGCCGAAGAUACCGGGACGCCAGUCUCGGAGGAGGCAACGGUGGGAUACUACCCUUGUGAUAUGACCACUCUAACCCGCUGCUCUUAGCGAGCAGGGAGACAGUGUCAGACGGGCAGUUUGACUGGGGCGGUCGCCUCCAAAAAUGUAACGGAGGCGCCCAAAGGUUCCCUCAGAAUGGUUGGAAAUCAUUCGUAGAGUGUAAAGGCAGAAGGGAGCUUGACUGCGAGACCUACAAGUCGAGCAGGGACGAAAGUCGGGCUUAGUGAUCCGGUGGUUCCGCAUGGAAGGGCCAUCGCUCAACGGAUAAAAGCUACCCUGGGGAUAACAGGCUUAUCUCCCCAAGAGUUCACAUCGACGGGGAGGUUUGGCACCUCGAUGUCGGCUCAUCGCAUCCUGGGGCUGUAGUCGGUCCCAAGGGUUGGGCUGUUCGCCCAUUAAAGCGGUACGCGAGCUGGGUUCAGAACGUCGUGAGACAGUUCGGUCCCUAUCCGUCGCGGGCGUUGGAAAUUUGAGAGGAGCUGUCCUUAGUACGAGAGGACCGGGAUGGACACACCGCUGGUGUACCAGUUGUUCUGCCAAGAGCACCGCUGGGUAGCUAUGUGUGGACGGGAUAAACGCUGAAAGCAUCUAAGCGUGAAGCCCCCCUCAAGACGAGAUUUCCCAUCACUUUAAGUGAGUAAGACCCCUGAGAGAUGAUCAGGUAGAUAGGUUGGGAGUGGAAGUACAGCGAUGUAUGGAGCGGACCAAUACUAAUCGGUCGAGGACUUAAC
rnacentral:rRNA from 1 species